rnacentral:lncRNA from 1 species
CUGUCCGUUACUUCAUUUAGCUUCCCUUGGAAGCUUAGUAUCAAAACUUCGUCGUUUUGACUCAUCAAAGUUAGGCCCUUUGUUUCCUUCCUUUUCUUCAUCCAAUAACCCUGAAUCCUUCUCUUCGUUAUCUCUAUUUUAAAUUUUCCUUUUUCUUUUGAUUUCCACACUUUUGCUCUCAAGUUUUUCUCUCUUAAGGAAGCAAAAUUUUCCUCGCAUUCUCAUCUUCUUUCUGAUUGUGGUCGUCUAUCCCCAGGUAUUUUUGUACCUUUAUUUUUCUUGUAUUUUUACUUCGGUCAUUGCAUGAGUUCGGAUGAGUCUAGGAUACAUUAUUGGUAUAAUCAGCAGAAAUAUUAUGUACUUUCUACUCUCACCCAUUCUACUAGCUUGGACUAUCAGAAUAUCUUAACUUUACUUCCAAUUUAUAUAGUCAAUCUGGGAGAUUUAGGUCAUCCUAGGAUCAUGGAACAAAACCCUAAAGGUGCUAGGAAUUCUAGAAAAAACAAAAAAGUUGGGUCUCAUGAUGGUGAUUAGGGAAUUUUUUCUGAAGAGUUGAAGGCUGAUUCUUUUAAGGUGGUAAUGAUGGGAGAUUUGUUGGCAAGCUGAAGGGGUUUGAUUGAGUUAGCGGCCCCCAGUAAGGUGUGAAGCUCUGAACUACACCAUCCUAAAUGUCGGCUUUAGACUUCCAUUCCCUAGGGUCAUCCAUAGGUUUCUUUCUUUCAGUAAAGGUAGUGGUCGUAGCUUACAAAAGAAAAAAGGAAAAUCUCUGCUAAGGUAGUUCAAGCAUGGUCGUUCUGAGGAAUCACAAACAAGGUCGACUCCCGUAGCCUUAUCUCCUGAGUAAUCUUUACAUCUGGUACCAAUGUAGAGGUCGACUCAUGUUUCUAUUCCUCUUACCAUCACUAUUGUGGCAGGCUCCUUGAGGUCAUAAGAAUGGUGCCCAAAUCUACGGAGGCCUAUCAUUGAUUUCUUGGUGGGCUGAAGACCUUGGAUAUUCCUGGACUUCCUCAAACCUCCAUCACGAUCCAGGAAGUUGAUAGCUACACUCUCUUUAUCCCCUUAGAGACUCCACCAAUCUCCUCACUAGGAAAUGGAAUGAGUUGAACUAAAAGUUCAUUUUCUAAUACAUUCUAUAUAUGAUGUUAGUGACGGAUGAUGUGUUCGAGCUUGCGUAGUUUAGAAACUUUUGCUUUGUUUUAUAACCCAGAUUAUUUUCUUCUUUCAGGUGAAGGCUGAAUUGGAAAAAAAGGUUAGAGGUAAAGAAUCGGGCCUUAAGCUUUUUCCAAAACAUGGAGGCUGAAAGGCUAAGAUUUGUUGGGAAAAAAGAAGAAAUACAAAUAUCACCUUAAUAAGAUGGGGAUUGAUUGGAGGCGAAGUUAGCCUCAGAACUGGGCCUCGUGGAUGAGAUUAAAGCCUUGAAGAUUUAGGGAAGAAAGGCAAACGAGAGGGUCUCUACUGAGGAAAAUAGAGCUGCAGAAGCGAGAGCUAAGGCUAACGAAGCUAUGAAGAGGGCUGAAGAAGCUACCAAAAAGGUAAAAGAGGUUGAAGCUAAAGCAACUAAGGAAAUGGAUCUUUUGAGGGCCUUUCUUGAGUUCGACCUCUAGCUCAGGAUGCCUAUUAGUGGCCUUGGAGGAGUUUGUGAAACAUACUGACAACGAGUGGCCAGGUUUUGACAUUGCGUUUUUUGGUAGAGGUGUUAAAAGAACAGAAAAAGGAACAGAGAAAACGUCUGAGGCAGUUGGGUUUCACAUCUCUCUUGCCGAUGAAGAUGUUGAAGAUGAGGUCGUUGCUCAGAGAGAUCCCCUAGUUCGUUAGCUCCCACUUUUUUUUAUGCUGAUGCUAAACACUAUUUUUAAUUUGCUUAUAAUAGACAUUUAGCUAGUAAAUGGAUAUUCUAUUGCAUGUCAAUUCGAUUUUUUGCACAAAUUUACAAUGUUUAUGAUUUCCUUGAAAGGUGAAUCGUUAUUUUAGCUUGCUUUAGGAGCAAUGCCUUUGUAAUUUCUUGAAGUAUUGCUACA